UACGAAGGGGGCUAGCGUUGCUCGGAAUCACUGGGCGUAAAGGGUGCGUAGGCGGGUUUUUAAGUCAGAGGUGAAAUCCUGGAGCUCAACUCCAGAACUGCCUUUGAUACUGGAAGUCUUGAGUAUGGGAGAGGUGAGUGGAACUGCGAGUGUAGAGGUGAAAUUCGUAGAUAUUCGCAAGAACACCAGUGGCGAAGGCAGCUCACUGGCCCAUUACUGACGCUGAGGCACGAAAGCGUGGGGAGCAAACAGG
rnacentral:rRNA from 1 species